UACGUAGGGUCCGAGCGUUGUCCGGAAUUACUGGGCGUAAAGAGCUCGUAGGUGGUUUGUCACGUUGUUCGUGAAAACCCACAGCUCAACUGUGGGCGUGCGAGCGAUACGGGCAGACUAGAGUACUGCAGGGGAGACUGGAAUUCCUGGUGUAGCGGUGGAAUGCGCAGAUAUCAGGAGGAACACCGAUGGCGAAGGCAGGUCACUGGGCCGCAACUGACGCUGAGGAGCGAAAGCAUGGGGAGCGAACAGG
rnacentral:rRNA from 1 species